GCCCCGGUUCCGGCAGCACUUGCAGCAGUAGGUGCAGAUCGGGAAGUGGCUGUUGAAGCGCUUGGCGCGGCGGAGCGGGACCUGCGGGGGAGAAGAAGGGCGGAGCUGGUGGCUGCGUUGGGUCCCCGACCCAGGGCUGCGUUUAUAGCCCAGCCAUCCCCACCCCGGUCCCGGAGCAGCCAAUCCCCCGCGUGCCAAGAAAGGACAGGUGAGGAGAGGGAAACCGUAAACAGCCCGUCAAUACAGUUAUCGCAGCUGGGCUCAAAGUUCCAGCAUACCAUUGGCCGGCUCCCCAGCCGGUGUCAGUGGGGCCAGAUCCCAGCAGGUGUCAGUCAGCACUGCUCUUUCAAAGUGGAGCGACAUUAAUUGUCCCAGGCCUUUGACUUUAAUCCCUCCUGGCCUUUGUCCCAAUGAGAUUUCAAAACACUUACAGUAAGUUUCAUGGUCAGGGUGUCUGUCCCCGCAACACCGCAGCCGAGAUCGGAGAGGGGCUGGGAUGGGAAUGACCUCAGGUUUUCUUGUAAAUCUCCCAAGUUUUGCAACUUUUCUCCCAGCCCCAGGAUGAUCCUGGCAUCAAAUGGGGGAUUGAUCCGGCCAGCUAAUUAGGCCGCAGCAUUUUGAAGGGGAAAAAUUAACUCUUUAUUCUGUUUUCCAUCACAGCACUUGUUACGAAUGAGCCCUAAAUGGGCAACGAUCGAUUGAUCCUAAUCACGCAUCAUCCCAGAAUUUGAACAUAACCGUGAUGAGCUAGGCACAGCCACCCAGGGCCCGUCUAACCCAGUUUCUCUCUCUUCCCAAACUCACCUUGAUCGAGUUCGCCCUGGUAAUUCUAAAUGGGGAUUCGUAUUAUCUAGGUAAGCAGCCAAGCCUUAUGGUUUUCAGUGCUGCUAAGACGUGGGCCUAAGUGGCUAUCAUGUGGCAAGGAGUUCCACAGGUUAAUGGCACGUUGGAUGGAAAAAGCAUUGGGUUAGAUGCCUUUUAAACAGGCAAGUUUGGGGCUACAUUUCUUCAAGGUGGGUAUUUUGAUUCCGGUCAAGCGCUAAAUGGGGAAUCUUCACUCAGUCUCAAUUAUCAAGCUAGUGAUUUCCACAGAAGAGUUUCUCUGACAUGCUGCCACUUCCCACUGACAUUCAGAGCACCCCACCCCCCGCACAAAACCCUGCCCUAAAAAAGGAUCAGACUGUUUAUAGCAGGGCUAAAGGAUUUCAUUGUUGGGGGGAGGGGUCAUGCUGUACGUAACCUGAGUCACUCUGCUGUGUCUUACACUCUGACUUUGGAAACACUUAUGGGUACUAGACCCACUGGGCCAGAUCCCAGCUGGUGUCAAUCGUCCAUAGCCCGACUGGAAUUAACGGGUCCCGGCCCAAUUCCCAGCUGGUGUGAAUCAGCCAUAGCUCUGCGGAGCUGCACAGAAUCGCUCAGCCUUUCCAGACGACCGCUUCCCUUUCAGGAGUCGGCUUUGUCUUGUGCACCCGCAAGUUUCCCCUCAUUUAAAAACGACCUGCUUACAAAAUCAGACAUCAGAACAC